rnacentral:misc_RNA from 1 species
AAUUUUUAACAAUGGAUCUCUUGGCUCUCGCAUCGAUGAAGAACGCAGCGAAAUGCGAUAAGUAAUGUGAAUUGCAGAAUUCAGUGAAUCAUCGAAUCUUUGAACGCACCUUGCACCCUUUGGAAUUCCGAAGGGUAUGCUCGUUUGAGUGCCAUUGUACUCUCACACUCCUCUGAUCCUUUGGAUUCGGGGAGCGGUGGACUUGGGUGUUUGCUGCUUUCCUUGUGGCUCACCUUAAAUGCGUCAGUGCACCUCUUGGUUGGACAUAGUACGGCGUGAUAAGUGUCUUCGCCGGCACCUCGCAAGAGGGUGGCCGAUCGAGAGCUCUGUGCUUUCAAACCGUCUUCGGACACUUUCUGACAACUUGACCUCAAAUCGAGUAGGACUACCCGCUGAACUUAAGCAUAUCAAUAAGCGGAGGCU